rnacentral:rRNA from 3 species
GGACUACAGGGGUUUCUAAUCCCGUUCGCUCCCCUGGCUUUCGCGCCUCAGCGUCAGAUGGGGUCCAGCGGGCCGCCUUCGCCACCGGAGUUCCUCUGCAUAUCAACGCAUUUCACCGCUCCACGCAGAGUUCCGCCCGCCCCUACCCCCCUCCAGGCCGCCCGUAUCCGGGGCCGUCCCACGGUUGAGCCGUGGGAUUUCACCCCGGACGCGGCAACCCGCCUACGCGCCCUUUAAGCCCAGUGAUUCCGAACAACGUUCGCUCGGUUCGUCUUACCGCGGCUGCUGGCAC